rnacentral:lncRNA from 1 species
UCAUUUUAACACACAAAAAUUCAGAUUUAACUCUAGUUUUUUCCAUUUCUCUUAAGGCAUAAAACAACAACCUUAAAAUUCUUCCUAGGAUUUUUGAAGAUACCCUCAUCUUUUCAAGACAAGGUAAGUAAAAACACUUGUGGAUUUAGCUUAAUUCUCCCAUGUAGGACUAGAAAAACAUGUAUCCAUGCUUAAGUAUUAGUAAUAAGGCACAAUGUUUCCACAAGCUAAUUGCUCACUUUUCUUAGUUAUUAACAUACUUUUUUCUUCUUCUUUGGUUUAAGUGUGAAGGAAAGUUGAAAGUUCUCGAAGAGUUCAAGUUAAAAGGAUAAGUUGCAGAAAUUGAGGAAAGGUGACUGCUCCAUUCCCCC